GCGGGGUAGUGCAGUGGUUACCACGGUUGGGUCGUGUCCAACAGACACAAGUUCGAUUCUUGUCCCCGCUA
rnacentral:tRNA from 1 species